ensembl:lncRNA
AUAUCUUCUGGUUUGCCGAUUUGUCGUCAAGUACUGCAAUUGGAGAAGAAAUGGGUAAAAAAAUAUACAUUUUUAAAGAGGACAGUGUGUGUCUGUAUAGGGGACAGUGUGAAUCUAUAUAGGGGACAGUGUGUGUGUCUAUAUAGGGGACAGUGUGUGUGUCUAUAUAGGGGACAGUGUGUGUGUCUAUAUAGGGGACAGUGUGUGUUAAUAUAGGGGACAGUGUGUGUGUCUGUAUAGGGGACAGUGUGAAUCUAUAUAGGGGACAGUGUGUGUGUCUGUAUAGGGGACAGCGUGUGUGUCUGUAUAGGGGAGUGAUGGAGGUAGAUAUGUAUAGGGGGAAGGGGACAGGGAUACUGGAGUGAUGGAGGUAGAUAUGUAUAGGGGGAAGGGGACAGGGAUACUGGAGUGAUGGAGGUAGAUAUGUAUAGGGGGAAGGGGACAGGGAUACUGUAGUGAUGGAGGUAGAUAUGUAUAGGGGGAAGGGGACAGGGAUACUGGAGUGAUGGAGAUAGAUAUGUAUAGGGGGAAGGAGACAGGGAUACUGGAGUGAUGGAGGUAGAUAUGUAUAGGGGGGAAGGGGACAGGGAUACUGGAGUGAUGGAGAUAGAUAUGUAUAGGGGGAAGGAGACAGGGAUACUGGAGUGAUGGAGGUAGAUAUGUAUAGGGGGAAGGAGACAGGGAUACUGGAGUGAUGGAGGUAGAUAUGUAUAGGGGGAAGGAGACAGGGAUACUGGAGUGAUGGAGGUAGAUCUGUAUAGGGGGAAGGGGACAGGGAGGUAGAUAUGUAUAGGAGUAAGGGGAUAGGGAUACUGGAGUGAUGGAGGUAGAUAUGUAUAGGGGGAAGGGGAUACUGGAGUGAUGGAGGUAGAUAUGUAUAGGGGGAAGGGGAUACUGGAGUGAUGGAGGUAGAUAUGUAUAGGGGGAAGGGGAUGCUGG